GAUGAACGCUGGCGGCGUGCCUAAUACAUGCAAGUCGAGCGAACAGACGAGGAGCUUGCUCCUCUGACGUUAGCGGCGGACGGGUGAGUAACACGUGGAUAACCUACCUAUAAGACUGGGAUAACUUCGGGAAACCGGAGCUAAUACCGGAUAAUAUAUUGAACCGCAUGGUUCAAUAGUGAAAGACGGUUUUGCUGUCACUUAUAGAUGGAUCCGCGCCGCAUUAGCUAGUUGGUAAGGUAACGGCUUACCAAGGCGACGAUGCGUAGCCGACCUGAGAGGGUGAUCGGCCACACUGGAACUGAGACACGGUCCAGACUCCUACGGGAGGCAGCAGUAGGGAAUCUUCCGAAAUGGGCGAAAGCCUGACGGAGCAACGCCGCGUGAGUGAUGAAGGUCUUCGGAUCGUAAAACUCUGUUAUUAGGGAAGAACAAAUGUGUAAGUAACUAUGCACGUCUUGACGGUACCUAAUCAGAAAGCCACGGCUAACUACGUG
rnacentral:rRNA from 1 species